GUGCUCCAUUUACGGUGUCACAAUCCCACGCCACACAAUGGAGGGACUCCUCCCCUUGCCUGGCCCAGGCUUUGUGAUUCACAUGCCCCACCCCACAAGCCUGUGGGCACAGCACUACGUGACAUGUGAGAACGCCACGAUGACCCCACCUCAGUGUUGCACACUGGGGUUUUGAGCUUUGGGCUCUCAGGUCAGGCUGCCUUGAUCAAAAUCCCAGUUCUGCCAUUUGCUAGCAGUGUGACCGGCAAGUUGCUUAACCUCUGGAUAUCUGUUUUCUCGUCACUGAAACGGACAUGACUAAUAGUGCCUAUAUUAUGGGGCUUUGAGAGAAUGAAAUAGCCCAGGGAAAGUGCCCAGAAGGGUGCCUGAUAGGAGUAAGGGCUCAACGGGAGCUGUGUGUGACUAUCAAUCAAUCUACUUUAAUGAUCAUAAUAACCUGAAGGAUAGGUCGGCACUCUCAUCUCCAGGCAGGAAGCUGAGGCUCAGGGAAGUUUUAAACUGUUCUAGGUUCACAGUGUUUAGGGGCCACAGCCAGGAUUCUAACCCAGGGCUAAAGGACCCCAAAGUCCAAGAUCUUCUCACUGAGCCACAGAGGGAAUAGACCUAGAGUCUAGGAGGGCAACCAUGUAUCACACUGAUGACAACCCAGGGCAGUGUAAACUUUCCUGACAAAUGUCCCUACACCUGGGAUCAGGGUCAGAUGCUGGGAAAGCUCCAGGAAGGGUGCUGCAUGAGCUCGCACGAGGCUGUGUGGUGGCAGUGGGACUGAACUGGGCCUUGAAGGACGAGCAGGACUUGAGUGACAGAUGAAGAUGAAAGAGGGCAUCCUCCUUCCAUCUCUUAAGGCUGGGGCCUGUGUGUCAGCCCCAGAAGCAGGGCUUGGCUGGUGGCUAGAAGGGGCAUCCAUAAGGCACAGAGGUGCCUGGAGUGAACGAGCUGCACUGGAGAGUCAGGGAAGAAAACGAAACCAGAUUCGUUGCCAGCCAAGGGGGCGCUCCAACCACAGAGGCCACCGUAGGUCCCAGUGACAAGCUGGAGGUAGGGAGGCUGAUGACGAUGGUGUUUGAGUAGCUCAGGCAUAAAGAGACGAAGGUCGAACCAGACUAGGGGUCUUGGGAAUGGGAAGGGAAGGACGGCGAAGGACUCUGUGGCAAGAGCUUGAGGGAAGGGGUGAAGGCAAGGGUGUGACUUGGGCCUUUCCGCUCCAGAUCAGCAGCAGCACCAGAGACCAGCAUUGAGAGACACGCUCUCCAAACUGUGGCUCUGACACAUGCUCAGUUGUAGCCCUGAUUCAGCACUGGAGGCCACGCGCUGGGCCACCGGGCCUGCCAGCUUCUCCUCAUGCAGAGCCGGUGGUGAGAUGCAGGGAACCAGUGGGAAGACCGCAGUGGCACGCAGGAAAGAAAGAGGGAAGGAGGCUGGACUAGAUGUGGUGGUGGGGACAGACGCAGGGAAGGAACAGAAAGCAGAACUACAGAAGCUGUGGGGGAGGCAGCCGGUGGACAGUCCAGGACCACUGGGUGUACCCCAAGAGAAGAAAGGGAUGUGACCAUGUGGAGAGCAGAUCUGGGCUGGCUAGGAGAGGUGAUCUGCAACUAAAUACCUAACAUCUCAGAAGGUCCCUUUGUCUGAAUAUCCCUUCAGCCCUUCCCAGAGCCCUGUUAACGGGGUGGGUGUGCAGACAUGGAGGGCUUAGGCCCAGCUUAGCCAUCGCCUGUCUGUAAGGGCCUUGGGCAGCCAGUUGGCCUGUCUGGGCUCCAGUUAUCCGUAAGUGAGAAGCUAAGGUUGGGUGGUCUUUCAGGGCUUUCCAGCCUUAAAGGACUUUCAAGUCCAAGUUUUAUUCCUCUAUUCUUAGUUGCACGAGGCAGGACUGAUGGUGCAAGCCGCUCUCCCCCUGUCAGCCUUGCGGGGUCCACCGGUCAGAGUGUAGCCAGGGAGACGAAAAAUCGAGUGAAUGCUGGCUUCGACUUGUGCUGUGUGGCCAUUAGGACACACUUAAGGAGCCACUAGGAAAUGGAUUGCAUCUGUGUCCUGACGGAGCUGUCUGCCCUUGACAGGCCCAGAUGAAAAGGUUGAGGCGAAAAGGGAUUACAUGACCCGUUCAAAGACCAUGAGCUGGUAAGUACAGAGAAGUAUUCAAAUCCAGGCCUGCCUGAUUUCAAAGAUCCUAUUCUUUCCAGUAUGGCAAAAACACCUUUCUGAGCACUUCUUAAAUUAUACCACGUCGGUCCU